GUGACGGACCCCCAGCCGCCCGCGGCCCGGGACCCCUGCCUACCCUCCGUCUCGCCCGCCGGGCUGUGGAACUAGCGCGUGCCCCCUCGCCGGCCUCGACAUCUCCCGUCCGUCCCUCACUCGUGGUGGGGCGCAGCUCCUGGUCCCUCAGCUGCGCGCCGCCCCACGCGGCCGGGCUGCCGGAUCUAGGGGGUCCGCGUCUCCCUGGCUCUCCAAGGGCUAAGGCCGUGAUUCUAGAGCGGCUGGGCGUCCAGGGCCUCGCUUCAAGGUUACUGACUUUUUAUGAUGUUUGGUGGCUAUGAGACUAUAGAAGCAUACGAAGAUGAUCUUUAUCGAGAUGAGUCAUCUAGUGAACUGAGUGUUGAUAGUGAGGUGGAAUUUCAACUCUAUAGCCAAAUUCAUUAUGCCCAAGAUCUUGAUGAUGUCAUCAGGGAGGAAGAACAUGAAGAAAAGAACUCUGGGAAUUCGGAAUCUUCGAGUAGUAAACCAAAUCAGAAGAAGCUAAUCGUCCUUUCAGAUAGUGAGGUCAUCCAGCUGUCAGAUGGGUCAGAGGUCAUCACUUUGUCUGAUGAAGACAGUAUUUAUAGAUGUAAAGGAAAGAAUGUUAGAGUUCAAGCACAAGAAAAUGCCCAUGGUCUUUCUUCUCUUCAGUCUAAGGAGCUGGUUGAUAAGAAAUGCAAGAGUGAUAUUGAGAAGCCUAAAUCUGAAGAGAGACCAGGUGUAAUCCGAGAGGUCAUGAUUAUAGAGGUCAGUUCAAGUGAAGAGGAAGAGAGCACCAUUUCAGAAGGUGAUAAUGUGGAAAGCUGGAUGCUACUGGGAUGUGAAGUAGAUGAUAAAGAUAAUGAUAUCCUUCUCAACCUUGUGGGAUGUGAAAACUCUGUUACUGAAGGAGAAGAUGGUAUAAACUGGUUCAUCAGUGACAAAGACAUUGAGGCCCAGAUAGCUAAUAACCGAACACCCGGAAGAUGGACCCAGCGAUACUAUUCAGCCAACAAAAACAUUAUCUGUAGAAAUUGUGACAAACGUGGCCAUUUAUCAAAAAACUGCCCCUUACCACGAAAAGUUCGUCGCUGCUUCCUGUGCUCCAGGAGAGGACAUCUCCUGUAUUCCUGUCCAGCCCCGCUUUGCGAAUACUGUCCUGUGCCUAAGAUGUUGGACCACUCAUGUCUUUUCAGACAUUCCUGGGAUACACAGUGUGACCGAUGUCAUAUGCUAGGCCACUAUACAGAUGCUUGCACAGAAAUCUGGAGGCAGUAUCACCUAACGACCAAACCUGGACCACCCAAAAAGCCGAAGACCCCUUCAAGACCAUCAGCCUUAGCAUAUUGCUAUCACUGCGCGCAAAAAGGCCAUUAUGGACACGAAUGUCCAGAAAGAGAAGUGUAUGACCCGUCUCCAGUAUCUCCAUUCAUCUGCUACUAUGAUGACAAAUAUGAAAUUCAGGAGAGAGAAAAGAGACUAAAACAAAAAAUAAAAGUACUCAAGAAAAAUGGGGUUAUCCCAGAGCCAUCCAAGCUACCUUAUAUAAAAGCAGCAAAUGAGAACCCCCACCAUGAUAUAAGGAAGGGCCGUACCUCGUGGAAAAGCAACAGGUGGCCUCAAGAAAAUAAAGAAACACAAAAAGAAAUGAAGAACAAGAAUAGAAACUGGGAGAAGCACAGGAAGGCUGACAGACAUCGUGAAGUGGAUGAGGAUUUUCCCAGGGGCCCCAAAACCUACUCUUCUCCUGGCAGUUUUAAAACCCAGAAGCCUUCUAAGCCCUUUCACCGUUCAUCACAUUACCACACGUCAAGAGAAGACAAGUCUCCCAAGGAGGGCAAGAGGGGCAAGCAGAAGAAAAAGGAGAGGUGCUUGGAAGAUGAUGACAAUGAUAACUUAUUUCUUAUUAAGCAGAGAAAAAAAAAGUCUUAAGCCGUCAGGCAGCCUCUGAUGUGGCUUUUCAUUAUUCAUUUGGCCUUUGUGUCUAUAACCUUCUGGCAUUGUGUUUAUUAUCUAUGAUUAAAUAAAGUGAGUUUUUGGUUUUGUUUUUUUAAUUUCAGCCAUUCCUAGAGUUACUGAAUAUCCAUGGAGAUCUCAAUUCUCUAUGUCCAACAGGAUAUUAGGUAAGAAAGUACAAAGAUAAACCUGGACUUCUCCUAUUCCAAUAUGUCAUCUUUACUCAGAAUCCUAGGGAUAGGUAGAAGAAUUCAUCUUUUCAAGAAAGCUUUUUAAAAAUACUUUGGAAAAAAAAACUGCAUCAAAGGUAAUUCAUCCUCAACAUGAGUAUGAAAUUAAAUCCUUGCAGGAAGAGAAAUUAACACUAAGAAAAAGUCAUCAAUAUUUUUCAACUUUUUUUUUUUUACUUUGGAAAGGACAAUAACUAUAAACCUAUAUCCAGAUUUUCUUGCUGCUGAAGCUGUUGUCAGAAUCUUCCUUUGGACAAAACAUCACUAGCUGACCGUAAAAACAAAAGUGUCAUCAUUGAAGCCCUGAAGAGGCAGGGAAUUGAGCUUCAGCAAAAUACAGGAAAAGAACUAUCCAGUAUAAAUGUCAGAAGACAGAUUUCCUAAACAAGUAAAAGAGACAUCAAAAAUUUUAACAUAAUCACAAUGAAAUCAUUUUUUACCACUUUUACAGCAGUUUUUCAAGCGGACUGUCACUCAGAUCUGCAGAGAUGAAUAUUACUCAAAAAAUUGUUUUGUUCUCUUGCAUUUUUUUCAACUACCGCAAAGCUCUACAGAUUUUUUUGUACUUGUGGAUCUUUUGUACUUCUCAUAGCCUAAUGUCAGACUAAGAAAAAUAAAAUAUCUGAAAGAGAGUAAA
rnacentral:sRNA from 1 species